rnacentral:rRNA from 1 species
CAUGCCGCGUGAGUGAUGAAGGCCUUCGGGUUGUAAAGCUCUUUCGCACGCGACGAUGAUGACGGUAGCGUGAGAAGAAGCCCCGGCUAACUUCGUGCCAGCAGCCGCGGUAAUACGAAGGGGGCUAGCGUUGUUCGGAAUUACUGGGCGUAAAGGGCGCGUAGGCGGCUUAUCAAGUCAGGCGUGAAAGCCCCGGGCUUAACCUGGGAACUGCGCUUGAGACUGGUAGGCUAGAGUACCGGAGAGGUGGGUGGAAUUCCCAGUGUAGAGGUGAAAUUCGUAGAUAUUGGGAAGAACACCGGUGGCGAAGGCGGCCCACUGGACGGUAACUGACGCUGAGGCGCGAAAGCGUGGGGAGCAAACAGGAUUAGAUACCCUGGUAGUCCACGCCGUAAACGAUGUCGGCUAGACGUUGGGGCCCUUAGGGUUUCAGUGUCGCAGCUAACGCAU